UGUAAGCAUGUCCAAGUACUUUUUAGAAGAAUAGUGUUGGGUUCCGAUGGCACAGUGGAAGGUUAGAUGUUUAAAAUUUUAUUCAAAAUACCUGAUGCACCGAAAAUCCUAAUGCUCAGAAACUCUUGACUAUAUCAAUCAAAGUAUAAUUAAAAUAAAUUUACAUCAAAAAAAUAUCUGUAGUGCUAAUAUAAUUUUUACAAGACAUCUAAGUGUUUGCCCUCCAAUGAUAAUCCACACAAAAAUUGAACAAAGGACAAAGCUUCUCCUUCACCAUGCUUCAAGAGUUCUAGCCCCUAAAACUCGACUAGCCACC
rnacentral:lncRNA from 1 species